rnacentral:rRNA from 1 species
GGGAUGCAAGCGUUAUCCGGAAUCAUUGGGCGUAAAGCGCCUGUAGGUUGUUUAAUAAGUCUGUUGUUAAAGACUAGGGCUCAACCCUAGAAAAGCAAUGGAAACUACUAGACUUGAGUAUGGCAGGGGUAGAGGGAAUUUCUAGUGUAGCGGUGAAAUGCGUAGAUAUUAGAAAGAACACCGGUGGCGAAAGCGCUCUACUGGACCAUUACUGACACUCAGAGGCGAAAGCUAGGGUAGCAAAAGGGAUUAGAUACCCCUGUAGUCCUAGCCGUAAACGAUGGAUACUAGAUGUUGUGUUUAUUUUACAGUAUCGUAGCUAACGCGUUAAGUAUCCCGCCUGGGGAGUACGCUCGCAAGGGUGAAACUCAAAGGAAUUGACGGGGGCCCGCACAAGCGGUGGAGCAUGUGGUUUAAUUCGAUGCAACGCGAAGAACCUUACCAGGGCUUGACAUACUGCGAAUCUCCUUGAAAGGGGAGAGUGCCUUCGGGAAUGCAGAUACAGGUGGUGCAUGGCUGUCGUCAGCUCGUGUCGUGAGAUGUUGGGUUAAGUCCCGCAACGAGCGCAACCCUUAUUUUUAGUUACCAAUUCGUUGGGUUCUCUAGAAAGACUGCCGGUGACAAACCGGAGGAAGGUGAGGAUGACGUCAAGUCAGCAUGCCCCUUAUGUCCUGGGCUACACACGUGCUACAAUGGUUGGGACAAAGAGUUGCAAGUUUGCAAGAACAAGCUAAUCUCGUAAACCCAACCUAAGUUCAG